CCUACGGGGGGCUGCAACCCAACUGAAUGGAGCCCUACGGGGGGCUGCAGUAGGGAAUCUUCCGCAAUGGACGAAAGUCUGACGGAGCAACGCCGCGUGAGUGAUGAAGGCUUUCGGGUCGUAAAACUCUGUUGUUAGGGAAGAACAAGUGCUAGUUGAAUAAGCUGGCACCUUGACGGUACCUAACCAGAAAGCCACGGCUAACUACGUGCCAGCAGCCGCGGUAAUACGUAGGUGGCAAGCGUU
rnacentral:rRNA from 1 species